rnacentral:rRNA from 1 species
UACGAAGGGGGCUAGCGUUGCUCGGAAUCACUGGGCGUAAAGCGCACGUAGGCGGGUCGUUAAGUCGGGGGUGAAAUCCUGGAGCUCAACUCCAGAACUGCCUUCGAUACUGGCGACCUUGAGUCCGGGAGAGGUGAGUGGAACUCCGAGUGUAGAGGUGAAAUUCGUAGAUAUUCGGAAAGAACACCAGUGGCGAAGGCGGCUCACUGGCCCGGUACUGACGCUGAGGUGCGAAAGCGUGGGGAGCAAACAGG